AUCCCUGCCAAAAUGGCUCAGUGUGUCUGGCUGUUAACCAGAACGUUGGUGGUUCAAACCCACCAAGGGAUG